UCACCUUAGGUCAGCGGCGGACGGGUGAGUAACACGUGGGUAACCUGCCUGUAAGACUGGGAUAACUCCGGGAAACCGGGGCUAAUACCGGAUGCUUGAUUGAACCGCAUGGUUCAAUCAUAAAAGGGGGCUUUUAGCUACCACUUACAGAUGGACCCGCGGCGCAUUAGCUAGUUGGGGAGGUAACGGCUCACCAAGGCGACGAUGCGUACCCGACCUGAGAGGGUGAUCGGCCACCCUGGGACUGAAACACGGCCCAAACUCCUACGGGAGGCAGCAGUAGGGAAUCUUCCGCAAUGGACGAAAGUCUGACGGAGCAACGCCGCGUGAGUGAUGAAGGUUUUCGGAUCGUAAAACUCUGUUGUUAGGGAAAAACAAGUACCGUUCGAAUAGGGCGGUACCUUGACGGUACCUAACCAGAAAGCCACGGCUAACUACGUGCCAGCAGCCGCGGUAAUACGUAGGUGGCAAGCGUUGUCCGGAAUUAUUGGGCGUAAAGCGCGCGCAGGCGGUUUCUUAAGUCUGAUGUGAAAGCCCCCGGCUCAACCGGGGAGGGUCAUUGGAAACUGGGGAACUUGAGUGCAGAAGAGGAGAGUGGAA
rnacentral:rRNA from 1 species